rnacentral:rRNA from 2 species
GGUUAAGCGACUAAGCGUACACGGUGGAUGCCCUGGCAGUCAGAGGCGAUGAAGGACGUGCUAAUCUGCGAUAAGCGUCGGUAAGGUGAUAUGAACCGUUAUAACCGGCGAUUUCCGAAUGGGGAAACCCAGUGUGUUUCGACACACUAUCAUUAACUGAAUCCAUAGGUUAAUGAGGCGAACCGGGGGAACUGAAACAUCUAAGUACCCCGAGGAAAAGAAAUCAACCGAGAUUCCCCCAGUAGCGGCGAGCGAACGGGGAGCAGCCCAGAGCCUGAAUCAGUGUGUGUGUUAGUGGAAGCGUCUGGAAAGGCGCGCGAUACAGGGUGACAGCCCCGUACACAAAAAUGCACAUGCUGUGAGCUCGAUGAGUAGGGCGGGACACGUGGUAUCCUGUCUGAAUAUGGGGGGACCAUCCUCCAAGGCUAAAUACUCCUGACUGACCGAUAGUGAACCAGUACCGUGAGGGAAAGGCGAAAAGAACCCCGGCGAGGGGAGUGAAAAAGAACCUGAAACCGUGUACGUACAAGCAGUGGGAGCACGCUUAGGCGUGUGACUGCGUACCUUUUGUAUAAUGGGUCAGCGACUUAUAUUCUGUAGCAAGGUUAACCGAAUAGGGGAGCCGAAGGGAAACCGAGUCUUAACUGGGCGUUAAGUUGCAGGGUAUAGACCCGAAACCCGGUGAUCUAGCCAUGGGCAGGUUGAAGGUUGGGUAACACUAACUGGAGGACCGAACCGACUAAUGUCGAAAAAUUAGCGGAUGACUUGUGGCUGGGGGUGAAAGGCCAAUCAAACCGGGAGAUAGCUGGUUCUCCCCGAAAGCUAUUUAGGUAGCGCCUCGUGAAUUCAUCUCCGGGGGUAGAGCACUGUUUCGGCAAGGGGGUCAUCCCGACUUACCAACCCGAUGCAAACUGCGAAUACCGGAGAAUGUUAUCACGGGAGACACACGGCGGGUGCUAACGUCCGUCGUGAAGAGGGAAACAACCCAGACCGCCAGCUAAGGUCCCAAAGUCAUGGUUAAGUGGGAAACGAUGUGGGAAGGCCCAGACAGCCAGGAUGUUGGCUUAGAAGCAGCCAUCAUUUAAAGAAAGCGUAAUAGCUCACUGGUCGAGUCGGCCUGCGCGGAAGAUGUAACGGGGCUAAACCAUGCACCGAAGCUGCGGCAGCGACGCUUAUGCGUUGUUGGGUAGGGGAGCGUUCUGUAAGCCUGCGAAGGUGUGCUGUGAGGCAUGCUGGAGGUAUCAGAAGUGCGAAUGCUGACAUAAGUAACGAUAAAGCGGGUGAAAAGCCCGCUCGCCGGAAGACCAAGGGUUCCUGUCCAACGUUAAUCGGGGCAGGGUGAGUCGACCCCUAAGGCGAGGCCGAAAGGCGUAGUCGAUGGGAAACAGGUUAAUAUUCCUGUACUUGGUGUUACUGCGAAGGGGGGACGGAGAAGGCUAUGUUGGCCGGGCGACGGUUGUCCCGGUUUAAGCGUGUAGGCUGGUUUUCCAGGCAAAUCCGGAAAAUCAAGGCUGAGGCGUGAUGACGAGGCACUACGGUGCUGAAGCAACAAAUGCCCUGCUUCCAGGAAAAGCCUCUAAGCAUCAGGUAACAUCAAAUCGUACCCCAAACCGACACAGGUGGUCAGGUAGAGAAUACCAAGGCGCUUGAGAGAACUCGGGUGAAGGAACUAGGCAAAAUGGUGCCGUAACUUCGGGAGAAGGCACGCUGAUAUGUAGGUGAGGUCCCUCGCGGAUGGAGCUGAAAUCAGUCGAAGAUACCAGCUGGCUGCAACUGUUUAUUAAAAACACAGCACUGUGCAAACACGAAAGUGGACGUAUACGGUGUGACGCCUGCCCGGUGCCGGGAGGUUAAUUGAUGGGGUUAGCGCAAGCGAAGCUCUUGAUCGAAGCCCCGGUAAACGGCGGCCGUAACUAUAACGGUCCUAAGGUAGCGAAAUUCCUUGUCGGGUAAGUUCCGACCUGCACGAAUGGCGUAAUGAUGGCCAGGCUGUCUCCACCCGAGACUCAGUGAAAUUGAACUCGCUGUGAAGAUGCAGUGUACCCGCGGCAAGACGGAAAGACCCCGUGAACCUUUACUAUAGCUUGACACUGAACAUUGAGCCUUGAUGUGUAGGAUAGGUGGGAGGCUUUGAAGUGUGGACGCCAGUCUGCAUGGAGCCGACCUUGAAAUACCACCCUUUAAUGUUUGAUGUUCUAACGUUGACCCGUAAUCCGGGUUGCGGACAGUGUCUGGUGGGUAGUUUGACUGGGGCGGUCUCCUCCUAAAGAGUAACGGAGGAGCACGAAGGUUGGCUAAUCCUGGUCGGACAUCAGGAGGUUAGUGCAAUGGCAUAAGCCAGCUUGACUGCGAGCGUGACGGCGCGAGCAGGUGCGAAAGCAGGUCAUAGUGAUCCGGUGGUUCUGAAUGGAAGGGCCAUCGCUCAACGGAUAAAAGGUACUCCGGGGAUAACAGGCUGAUACCGCCCAAGAGUUCAUAUCGACGGCGGUGUUUGGCACCUCGAUGUCGGCUCAUCACAUCCUGGGGCUGAAGUAGGUCCCAAGGGUAUGGCUGUUCGCCAUUUAAAGUGGUACGCGAGCUGGGUUUAGAACGUCGUGAGACAGUUCGGUCCCUAUCUGCCGUGGGCGCUGGAGAACUGAGGGGGGCUGCUCCUAGUACGAGAGGACCGGAGUGGACGCAUCACUGGUGUUCGGGUUGUCAUGCCAAUGGCACUGCCCGGUAGCUAAAUGCGGAAGAGAUAAGUGCUGAAAGCAUCUAAGCACGAAACUUGCCCCGAGAUGAGUUCUCCCUGACCCUUUAAGGGUCCUGAAGGAACGUUGAAGACGACGACGUUGAUAGGCCGGGUGUGUAAGCGCAGCGAUGCGUUGAGCUAACCGGUACUAAUGAACCGUGAGGCUUAACCU